AAGUCGUAACAAGGUCUCCGUAGGUGAACCUGCGGAGGGAUCAUUACCGAGUGACAGGCCUCCGGGCCUGACCUCCAACCCUUUGUGAACACAACCCGGUUGCCUCGGGGGCGCCCCGGCCUUUCCGGCCCCGGCCCCCCGGUGGACCCCUCAACACUGCAUCUUUGCGUCGGAGCGAAUAGCGAAUCAAAUCAAAACUUUUAACAACGGAUCUCUUGGUUCUGGCAUCGAUGAAGAACACAGCGAAAUGCGAUAAGUAAUGUGAAUUGCAGAAUUCAGUGAAUCAUCGAAUCUUUGAACGCACAUUGCGCCCUUUGGUAUUCCGAAGGGCAUGCCUGUCCGAGCGUCAUUACACCCCUCGAGCCUUCAUUGCUUGGUAUUGGGCGUCGCGGUCUGACCCGCGCGCCUCGAUGUCUCCCGGCUGAGCCGUCUGGCCUCCCAGCGUUGUGGUACAACAAUCAAUCCGCUAGCGAGAACUGAAGGCGUGGCCGUCAAAACCUUUUACUUACAGGUUGACCUCGGAUCAGGUAGGGAUACCCGCUGAACUUAAGCAUAUCAAUAAGCGGAGGAAAAGAAACCAACAGGGAUUGCCCCAGUAACGGCGAGUGAAGCGGCAACAGCUCAAAUUUGAAAUCGGGCCACCGUCCGAGUUGUAAUUUGUAGAGGAUGCUUCUAGGCAGCGGCCGGUCUAAGUUCCUUGGAACAGGACGUCAUAGAGGGUGAGAAUCCCGUACGUGACCGGCUGGCACCUAACACGUAGCUCCUUCGACGAGUCGAGUUGUUUGGGAAUGCAGCUCUAAAUGGGAGGUAAAUGUCUUCUAAAGCUAAAUACCGGCCAGAGACCGAUAGCGCACAAGUAGAGUGAUCGAAAGAUGAAAAGCACUUUGGAAAGAGAGUUAAAAAGCACGUGAAAUUGUUAAAAGGGAAGCGCAUGCAACCAGACAUGUCGACGGUGUUCCGCCGGUCUUCUGACCGGUCUACUCGCCGGCGGCAGGCUCACAUCGUCUGGGAGCGCCGGAGAAAGGUGGCGGGCAUGUGGCCCCUCGGGGUGUUAUAGCCCGCCGCACAAUACGGCGCCUCCCGGGCGAGGUCCGCGCUUCGGCUAGGAUGUGGGCGUAAUGGUCGUACGCGGCC
rnacentral:rRNA from 1 species